rnacentral:rRNA from 1 species
UACGUAGGUGGCAAGCGUUGUCCGGAAUUAUUGGGCGUAAAGCGCGCGCAGGCGGUCCCUUAAGUCUGAUGUGAAAUCCCACGGCUCAACCGUGGAAGGUCAUUGGAAACUGGGGGACUUGAGUACAGAAGAGGAAAGCGGAAUUCCAAGUGUAGCGGUGAAAUGCGUAGAGAUUUGGAGGAACACCAGUGGCGAAGGCGGCUUUCUGGUCUGUAACUGACGCUGAGGCGCGAAAGCGUGGGGAGCAAACAGG